GCGGGUGUAGCUCAAUGGCAGAGCGCCAGCCUUCCAAGCUGGAUGUGAGGGUUCGAUUCCCUUCACCCGCU
rnacentral:tRNA from 1 species